GACUCAAAAGCCUCAUCAAACUUGCCUAGUUUUUAUGUCGAAACUCAUGGAAAAGGAAAAGAGAAUUUCAGUAAAACUAUUAAUGAGAAAAUGAUAUCUUUAGAACAAAUGAAAAUAUUUUUUCGAAAAUCCGAGGUCAUUUACAAAGUGAGAAGCAGUCUCUUACAUGACCUUGCCAAGUUUAUUAUCAAGUAAAUGUUCCUUGUUUUUAGUUUCAUUUGUGUAUAAACAUUGAUAUUUUAGGAGGUAGACUAUGUGGUGGAGUAAGCAAAGAAGGAAUCAAAUACUAUAAUGAUCUAAUAGACGCACUUUUGGAAGAAGGCAUUGAGCCAUGUGCAACUUUGUUUCAUUGGGACGUUCCCCAAUGCUUGGAAGAUCAAUACGGUGGCUUCUUAGAUCAUCAAAUUGUGUAAUAUUGAUCAUUGAUAGCUUGAAGAGUUUGCUGAUUUACGAGUUAGAGCCGCAUGACAUAUUGAGUGAUAUGAUUCAUUUUGAUAAAAUAUGAAUUAACUAUUUCGGGCCCAUUGCACUAUGUUUUUAUAAACAUUUAAUUUUGUCGCAUAUUUCGUAGUAACUCAUGGUUAGCCUUGGUGGUGGAUCUGGGAUCUAAUCAGCAUUUACCAUCGGCACACGUCUUGUUUCGGGUCCAUAGUGUGAUUCGGGACAAGUUGUCUCAAUUUCUCAACUUCAAGACUUACACACUUUUGGCUUUUUACAAAAUGGAGGAUCUUACCCCUUUAUAUAGUAUUUACAAGAAACGUCUAGUCCACACAAUUUUCUAAAGAUUCCUGGACCACAUAUUUACAUGAGACUUUUAGACCAAAUA